AGUGAACGCUGGCGGUAGGCCUAACACAUGCAAGUCGAACGGCAGCACAGUAAGAGCUUGCUCUUACGGGUGGCGAGUGGCGGACGGGUGAGGAAUACAUCGGAAUCUACUUUUUCGUGGGGGAUAACGUAGGGAAACUUACGCUAAUACCGCAUACGACCUACGGGUGAAAGCAGGGGAUCUUCGGACCUUGCGCGAUUGAAUGAGCCGAUGUCGGAUUAGCUAGUUGGCGGGGUAAAGGCCCACCAAGGCGACGAUCCGUAGCUGGUCUGAGAGGAUGAUCAGCCACACUAGAACUGAGAAACGGUCCAGACUCCUACGAGAGGCAGCAGUGGGGGAUAUUGGACAAUGAGCGCAAGCCUGAUCCAGCCAUACCGCGUGGGUGAAGAAGGCGUUCGGGUUGUAAAGCCGUUUUGUUGGGAAAGAAAAGCAGCAGGUUAAUACCCCGCUGUUCUGACGGUACCCAAAGAAUAAGCACCGGCUAACUUCGUG
rnacentral:rRNA from 1 species